GAUGAAGAACGUAGCGAAAUGCGAUAAGUAGUGUGAAUUGCAGAAUUCAGUGAAUCAUCGAAUCUUUGAACGCACAUUGCGCCCCUUGGUAUUCCAUGGGGCAUGCCUGUUCGAGCGUCAUUUGUACCUUCAAGCUCUGCUUGGUGUUGGGUGUUUGUCUCGCCUCUGCGUGUAGACUCGCCUCAAAACAAUUGGCAGCCGGCGUUUUGAUUUCGGAGCGCAGUACAUCUCGCGCUUUGCACUCAUAACGACGACGUCCAAAAGUACAUUUUUACACUCUUGACCUCGGAUCAGGUAGGGAUACCCGCUGAACUUAAGCAUAUCAAUAAGCGGAGGA
rnacentral:misc_RNA from 1 species